rnacentral:tRNA from 1 species
GCUUCUGUAGCUCAGCCGGUAGAGCGCUGCGUUGAAAGCGCAGGCGUCGGUGGUUCGAUCCCGCCCGGAAGCACCA